ACCGGUUUUGUUAUUGCCCCUCUGAGAUAAAUAGAGGGUUCAAAUUGCCCCUCGAAGAUAAAUUCAUGGUUCUUAUUGACCUUCAGAGAUAAAAACAGGGCACGUAUUGCCCCUCAGAGAUAAAUACAGGGUUCUUUCAUUGAUUUUAAUUGAAUUGUUUGUGUGAGUAUAAGAGAGCUGACAAAUUGCUGUGCUGUGUGUUUUCUCUCCAGGUGUGUGGGUGAAAGAGAUGGUGCGGUCUGGAGCUGACAGCUGACGUAGCUGAUAGCUGACGUAGCUGAUAGCUGACGUAGCUGAUAGCUGACAUAGCUGAUAGCUGACAGAGCUGAUAGCUGACGUAGCUGAUAGCUGACAGAGCUGAUAGCUGACGUAGCUGAUAGCUGACAUAGCUGAUAGCUGACAGAGCUGUAGUAGGAUGAGAUGAGAGAGGAUGGAACACACGGACAGCCCCGCCUCCCACAGCAGCGACCCCAACGGGUUCGUCAAUAAAGUCUUCAACGUGUCUCUGGAUGUGCAGCAUGAGACCGGCACUGUAUCUAUCCAUGAGACUGGGAAGGGAGAGGGACAGGGAGAGAGUCAAGAAGAGGGUCAGGGUCCAUGCCAAGCCCAGGGACAGUGGCAGGGGGAUGGGGAUAGACAGGCAGAGACCCAGGCACCCCCUCAGACCCCUGGGAUGGAGCACCCGGAUGUCAACCGUAGACCAAGAGCUACAGGAGGCAUCUGGAAGAUCUUGACCCGGCGAAAAGCGGCUUCAGAACUGGAUAACAGAAGACCUCACUCCAUGAUCCUCCCAGGAGAGGAGGCCUUUAUCCCUAAACUGUCCUUCGCUGACAAGGUCCGCUCCAUCAAGAAGCUCCGCUCUCCGGGUGUCUUCAAGGGGAGGGUGGGUAAGAUGUCUAGGUCCAGCACUAAGUUCAGAGAUGGAGAGACGGAGGACGACUCGUUCUGCCGGGACUUCCUCCCCUCACCCGCCCUGCAUCCCGGUAGGAGCACACUCCGCCACUACGCCAAGAGGCACUCGUAUGCCGGACAUACCGCCGAGUUCGACUGCUCAUUUGAGGACAUGGAUCUGACAGCUACCCUGGACAGACACCAUCUUCCCUCGCUAGUGGACCCUGCUACCCAGAACGGCUCUAAGCCCACAGAGAGAGUCCCCUACACCAAGAGAUCUCAGGUCCAGGCUCAGGCGCAGGCCAAUCACUCCUCUAACUGUAACACUACCUCAGCAGAAGUGUGUGAGGAGCAGAGUGUGAGGGGCGGCCCCAAGGCCCCGCUGGGUGGGAGGAGGUCUAAGAGAGCUGACGUGUGGAGUUACCUAAGGAAGAUCUCUGUCCUGGGGAAGGGGAACCCAGCUUACUCAGAGAGGAGUUUUGACUCAGAGCUACACACACUGGACAAGACCAUGGACUCUGACUAUGGCUCGGUGGACAUUGAGAGCAUCCGGGACUUUCAGCCAGCUGCUACAAAACACUCUGACAGCAAAGGUGGACAUUUUGGGGGUCUGAUUAAGUUCUUCAGCAAUGUUGCAGAGACGGCUAGAAAAUGGCGGAUGUCUUCUCACUCCUUCUCUCCUCCAGAGGGGGGGGCGGAGCGGACGCCACUGGACUCCCCCAGAGCAGGGCAGCGUCUGGGGGACUACGUCCACAGUGUGUCCCUGACCCUCCGCAGUGAGGACCAUCCAGAGUUUCCCCCAACACCCGCCUCACCCCUGACCCCUCACCCCCCUCGCUCCCCUACUUGUGACCCUGCCUCACCCACUCCUCUGAUAGGCAGACGGUCUCCUCGAGUGGUGCUGAAGGCCUGGAGAGUAUGUCCGGACUCACCAAGCGUUAACGGCCUGGUGUGUGUGAGCUCAUUGGAAACGGCCAGACAGACAGACAAACAGACAGAGAGCCAGCCAGUCAGACAGACAGAGAGACAGACACGGCACACCUCUGUAGCCACAGUAGAGAAUCAUGUGCCACACUCAAGGCUGGAGAGAGAGACUCAGAAAGAGACAGUGGGAGACAGAGACCACUUAGAAUGUCUGUCUACAGUGGAAGACAGAGAAAGAGAGGGAAGAGAGCGACACUCAGGAAAUUAUCUGGAUUCCGAGGAUGCUCUACCUGUCUCGGAUCAGACACACCUUCCAAACGGCCAAUCAAAGUUACGGGAAGAAGAGACCGCAGCCACUAGGGAGCCAGCAGGAAACUGCCACCAGGAAGUAUUUAAGGGAGCUCUAUCAGGCAGUGUUUUGAGGAGACCCAGGUCAGUCCAGUCCUAUUCUAGUCCAGUGAAGACCCCUGCCCCUCCCAAGCCCCCCCGCCCUCGCCCCCGUCCCGCCUCAGCACUGGUCGACCUCCGAGUCUGCAGUCCCUUCCCAGGGGGCUGUGCGUUUGCCGUUACUCAGCAGGCCACAGGGGGCUCUCUGUGCCGGCACAGACGCAGGCCCGGUCCCAUGAUGCACCUCUUGCCGCCGGGUCGGAGACAGGCGGGCAGUCUGGCCAGACCAUGCUCUGUCAUAGAGCCCUCUGUUACCGUGGAGACAGACCCCGCGCAGAGUCACAGAGUAAGACCUCACACACACACACACACAAACACACACAUAUUAUCCCCUGCUGAGAGAAUGAAAGUGGGAGUGUGUGUGGAGACUGACCAGUAGUCUCUGCCAACCCUGAUUUAAAUAUAGGCUGUAGUCCUCCUAGCUGGUAGGACCAGUAAUGAAUCAACCACAACACGCGCUGCAUGCUUUGAUGGGAGGAGAUUACAAACCCUGUAUUUAUACCCUCCUACUCUACAACAAUGCUACACGCUCUGACCCAUUUCUACAAGGCUGUAUUCAUAUAUCCUCCUUUCCUUGAGCUGCUCUUUCUCUGCUCUCUUGAUUUCUCUCUCCUCUCGCUCUCUGCUGUCUCUCUCGUUCACUAUUUCUGUCUGUGGCCAAUUAUCUGCAUCACCGCUCCCAUACGUUCUGUCCAUACAUUAUUCCCUCAUUAUAAUAACUCACCCUAUGAACUUUUCACCUGGAGACUCAUCCACCUGACUGGUAGGAAUGAUUCAUAUUGUAUCACCUGACUGGUAGGAAUGAUUCAUAUUGUAUCACCUGACUGGUAGGAAUGAUUCGAUUGUAUCACCUUACUGGGAGAUGAUUCAUAUUGUAUCACCUGAUCUGUAGGAAUGAUUCAUAUUGUAUAACCUGAUGGUAGGAAUGAUUCAAUUGUAUCAACAAGGUUGUAUGCGGCAUGCACUCAGAACCUAUGCACCAGAAUAUACUGUUUGGUUAAAUGUUGCUACACUCGAGAAGGAAAGAAGAUGUGUUGUUUGGGGGAUCUGUAUGUACUGUAUGUACUGUAUGUGAGAGACGUUGUGUGUGCUUGCGUAACUGUCCAGUGUGUUCCAGGCCAGUCUCGUCCCUGGGGCAUCACCUUUAGAGCCCCCCCUCAGAGUGUCUCUUCAGAGUGUCACUCCCUCCCCCCCAGCAGUCUUAACCACUCUGGCCCUGUUUCCGGGACACACAGGUACUACAGGUGUGUGUGCACAUGUGUGUGGUGCCUGCCUGCCUGUUCAAUAGUGCAUGUUGGUGUACGAAUGCUUGUGUGUGUGUGUGUGUGUGUGUGUGUGUGUGCGUGUGCAUGUUGCGGGUGCGUGUGGUGUGUGGUUGUGUGUGUGUGUGUGUUGGUAGUUGAACUGUCUGUGUGUCCUGUCCACUACAGCAGACUCCCAGUCAUCCUCAAUGUGUCCUGGUGAUGGAGAGGCUGGCAGCUGCAGGAGGAGACUGCUCAGAACAGGCUCUGGUCCACUACAAGUCAACAUUGUGAGUCAUUGCCUACCAUGUCCUAUAAUCACACUAUAUUAGCCUGUUAGCAUGUUAGCCUGUUAGCAUGUUCAGUCACAAGUCACUGGCUGCGUCUCAAAUGGGACCCUAUUCCCUAUAGAUGGGUUAGCUGACAACGUCAUGAAAACAAUGUCCGCGCUUCAAAGGGGCAGAAGGUUGUGUGUUGUUGUGAUUCUGGAUGGCCUGGUAGCUAGCAACAAGGACAAGAAACUGCUAUGUGGCGGCAGAUAGCCUAGUGCUUAAGAGCAUUAGGUCAGUAACUGAAAGAUCGCUAGUUGGAAUCUCCGAGCUGUCUUGUUUUGAGGGGUUUUAACUGAGGUCUAUGCAAAUAUGGUUAAAAUAUGCCAGCUAUCUAGCUAAUCAACAACUGUAACAAUGUAUUUGAGAGACAAAUGCGCAUUGUGCAACUUUAUUUAUGUUUUCAAUAAAGAGACAAAAUAUAGUUUACAUGCUAUCAGCAAUCUAAACCAACGCCGUCUGUUUUGCCCCAGUCUUCCUUCCGGGUUCUGGUUUUUAAUGUUUUUAUUUAUUUUAUUUCACCUUUAUUUAACCAGGUAGGCAAGUUGAGAACAAGUUCUCAUUUACAAUUGCGACCUGGCCAAGAUAAAGCAAAGCAGUUCGACACAUACAACGACACAGAGUUACACAUGUAGUAAAACAAACAUACAGUCAAUGAUACAGUAUAAACAAGUCUAUAUACGAUGUGAGCAAAUGAGGUGAGAUAAGGGAGGUAAAGGCAAAAAAAGGCCAUGGUGGCAAAGUAAAUACAAUAUAGCGAGUAAAACACUGGAAAGGUAGAUUCUCAAUGGAAGAAUGAGCAAAGUAGAAAUAAAAAUAAUGGGGUGCAAAGGAGCAAAAUAAAUAAAUAAAUUAAAUACAGUAGGGAAAGGGGUAGUUGUUUGGGCUAAAUUAUAGGUGGGCUAUGUACAGGUGCAGUAAUCUGUGAGCUGCUCUGACAGYUGGUGCUYAAAGCUAGUGAGGGAGAUAAGUGUUUCCAGUUUCAGAGAUUUUUGUAGUUCGUUCCAGUCAUUGGCAGCAGAGAACUGGAAGGAGAGGCGGCCAAAGAAAGAAUUGGUUUUGGGGGUGACUAGAGAGAUAUWCCUGCUGGAGCGUGUGCUACAGGUGGGAGAUGCUAUGGUGACCAGCGAGCUGAGAUAAGGGGGGACUUUACCUAGCAGGGUCUUGUAGAUGACAUGGAACCAGUGGGUUUGGCGACGAGUAUGAAGCGAGGUCCAGCCAACGAGAGUGUACAGGUCGCAAUGAUGGGUAGUAUAUGGGGCUUUGGUGACAAAACGGAUUGUACUGUGAUAGACUGCAUCCAAUUUGUUGAGUAGGGUAUUGGAGGCUAUUUUGUAAAUUACAUCGCCAAAGUCGAGGAUUGGUAGGAUGGUCAGUUUUACAAGGGUAUGUUUGGCAGCAUGAGUGAAGGAUGCUUUGUUGCGAAAUAGGAAGCCAAUUCUAGAUUUAACUUUGGAUUGGAGAUGUUUGAUAUGGGUCUGGAAGGAGAGUUUACAGUCUAACCAGACACCUAGGUAUUUGUAGUUGUCCACAUAUUCUAAGUCAGAGCCAUCCAGAGUAGUGAUGUUGGACAGGCGGGCAGGUGCAGGUAGUGAUCGGUUGAAGAACAUGCAUUUAGUUUUACUUGUAGGCCACGGAAGGAGAGUUGUAUGGCAUUGAAGCUUGCCUGGAGGGUUGUUAACAGAGUGUCCAAAGAAGGGCCAGAAGUAUACAGAAUGGUGUCGUCUGCGUAGAGGUGGAUCAGAGGCUCACCAGCAGCAAGAGCGACCUCAUUGAUGUAUACAGAGAAGAGAGUCAGUCCAAGAAUUGAACCCUGUGGCACCCCCAUAGAGACUGCCAGAGGUCCGGACAGCAGACCCUCCGAUUUGACACACUGAACUCUAUCAGAGAAGUAGUUGGUGAACCAGGCGAGGCAAUCAUUAGAGAAACCAAGGCUGUCGAGUCUGCUGAUGGAUGGCUUGAUGGUUUGAUGGAGACAUUCAGGGAAUAUCUCUGCAAUGCAGUUCAACAGUCUUCCUUCAGGGUUCAGUUAAACAGUCUUCCUUCCGGGUUCAGUUCAACAGUUUCCCUUCAGGGUUCAGUUCAACAGUUUUUCUUCAGGGUUCUGGUUUGAGAAACAUAUUUGAAAGAAAAAAUGUGGCCUAUGUAUUUCAUCCAGCAGGUCAUCUGCCGUAGGGCCCAGAUCCAUUAACCUCUACCUCAUCACUCUCUGUUCUUUCGCUUUCAUCUCUCUCUCUCUCUCUCUCGCUGUUCUUUGUCAUCUCUCUCAGUUGUCUCUCUCAUCUCUCUGUUCUCUCUGUCACCUCUAUCUGUUCUCUCUCUCAUCUGUCUCGCCUUUGGGACCUAGACCCAGAAUCUCAGAGAAAGGCCCUUUGAUGAAGACGGGGCCCCAAGGGACCUUAACUGAAGGAGAGACUAUUUUCUCUCCAUCUCUUAGAGUCUAACUGUUAAUGAGCUGCAGCUGUACGCACACACACACACACACACACACACACACACAAAUGCGAACACACACAAAUGCAUUCAUGCAGGUAGACACACACACACACUCUCUCACACACACUCAUACACACAGCUGGAGGUCAAACUCUGUAUUUUGCCACCACAACCAUUCUGGAGUUGAACGGUGUUUGUCGUCAGUUCCAUGCUGUUGCCAUGACACUGUGUGUUUCCUGUUUAUCUUCAGGAUUCUAUCUUUAGAAAGCCUUUGUAAGUGUGAGUUAAAUAGACAGUGUGUGGGUGAGAGAGAGAUUUGGAGGAGGGGGGGGUAUACAGAGAAGAAGAGAAGGUGGGGAGAUGGAGAGAGGGGUGGGAGAGAGAAAGAGAGGGAUAGACAGAUGUUUUCAUUAUGUGUCUUAUGUUUUGGCUCUCAUCCCUCAGGGCUACUUUUCAAUGGCGAUAUAAACCAUUGAGAGUGUUUCAAAAAGAGAGUGAGAGAUGUAUUUGUUUUAAUGGCUAGAGAGAUAAGUGGAGAGUGAUAGAUGUUUGUUAAUGGCCAGAGAGAUAAAGGACAGUAAGAGAUGUUUGUUAGUUGCCAGAAAGAUAAAGGACUGUCACGAACGUUGUUGUAAGAAUCGGACCAAAAUGCAGCGUGGUUUGAGUUCAUCAUCUUUAUUACGUGAAUCGGCAAUAAACAAUAAAGAACAAACGAACAUGAAGCUAUGCAGUGCUCAAGACAACUAUGCACAAACAAGAU
ensembl:lncRNA